UUUUAAAUGUAUAUUACAUCAGAACUUUUGACUGGGUGGAGCGAUUUCGACAAAUUUUCUUUUAAUCGAAAGGUGGUGUGUGCCAAUUGGUCCCAUUUAAAUUUAUUUGAAAUCUAACAACUACUUUUCGAGCUAUAUCUAAUAAUGCGUUUUUACUUGACGCUUUUUUCGUCGACCUACGUUGUAUUAUACCGCAUAACUUUCUACUGGAUGUAAUGAUGUUGAUAAUUUUUUUUUGUUGGAAAGGAGAUAUCCCAAGUUUAGUACCAUGAUAAGGAAACCAGGAUCUGAUGA
rnacentral:misc_RNA from 1 species